rnacentral:misc_RNA from 1 species
UUUCCGUAGGUGAACCUGCGGAAGGAUCAUUAACGAGUAAGGGUCAUUCUGGCCCGACCUCCAACCCUAGGUUUAAUUACUAUGUUGCUUGGGCGGGCCCGUUUCACGACCUCCGGAAGUCCACGUACUUCUCGCCCGUUCCCGCCAAUAGCCUUCUCCAAACUCUUGAUCAAUCGUGUUGUCUGAUUAAUAAAUUUAAUAGUUAAAACUUUCAACAACGGAUCUCUUGGUUCUG